GGGGAUGUAGCUCAGUGGGAGAGCGCCUGCCUUGCACGCAGGAAGUCGGCGGUUCGAAUCCGCUCAUCUCCA
rnacentral:tRNA from 1 species